GUUAAUAAAGCGACUGUGCUGACGUGCCUGGAAGUUAAUAAUGCGACUGUGCUGACGUGCCUGGAAGUUAAUAAUGCGACUGUGCUGACGUGCGUGGAAGUUAAUAAUGCGACUGUGCUGACGUGCGUGGAAGUUAAUAAUGCGACUGUGCUGACGUGCGUGGAAGUUAAUAAUGCGACUGUGCUGACGUGCGUGGAAGUUAAUAAUGCGACUGUGCUGACGUGCGUGGAAGUUAAACCCGUAUUUUGUAUUCUUUAACCGUACCGGCCUCAGCUCACCAGUUUGCAAAGCCUCUCGAUCGUGGAAGUUGCUGGGAUUUUCAUUGACUCUUUUGAAAUCGUAGUGAUAGUUUUACCCGACUUCUGCAUCUUGAACGGGAAAAUCACCCUUGGAAGCCUGGUUAUUUUUCUCUGUGGCCUUGGGAAUAACCGUGAAGGGAAUCCAAUACCUUUAAGAAUAUGGGUCUUGGAGCCGCGUUCACAGUCACUUUGUUUGUUUUGAUCGUUACCAAUGGCGGCGAUCGCGCUAUAGUACUACGCUAUAAAAUGGCCGAUGGGGUAGUGGCGGCUGCUGGGUUAGCCUAGCCCCGCACCUUACCACACACACUCAACACCUCUCGCUUCCUCUGUAGCCACCACUACCCCAUAGGCUAAUUUUACGUGGAAAACUAUAGCGUCGAUCGCCGCCAUUGGUAACGAUCUAAACAAAGUGACUGUGAAAGCGGCCCUUAAGUGUCGGAGCUGGUGUGCACGGAGUGUGUAUUGGGCACCUUGACAUUGCUUUGCGGCAGGACCAGUGCAGAUGUAUCAGUUCAGCCGAUGCGUGAGAAGGAUCGAAGAGAUUGACACGCGGCUGUUGGUUCUAUUCCUGUACGAAAGUAAGUGAAUUUUCUCACACACACUCCGUUACACGUUGAAGUACAACUGAUGCGGAAAACUUUUAUGACUUAACUGGUGUACGCUACUACUGUGUAAGUUUAAAUGUGCUUCAGAAUAUAUUUAUUGAGAUGUUAUAAGUGAUUAUGUAUUUCUAGUGUUAACAAGCCACGACAUCUGUGAUUCAUUGUUCUGACUUUUGUAUAGUAAUAAUUAAAGAUCUGGAAUAAAAUGGAAAAUAUAAAACAAUAUAGCUCCCUUUUAUUUCUAAUUGUAAGGUCUUCUAAUCAGUAUAACUUAGUAACGUCCAUUGAUCUGUAAUACAUCGCUAGUUUAGCUUUUUUUUUUUCUUUUAACCCUACUGCCUAUACCACCGUUUGUCAUUCGCCAUGCUUCAGCAAUUCAACUGCCUAACAAGGGUAUAGUGAACGAGCUUGUAAAGUAGGGAGGGGGGGGGGGGUUGUAGUCAGCGAGGCGGUGGGGAGAUGAAGUGCAGUCCGGUCGUUCAUAGUUUAUAUUAUUCUUUCUACUAUGACUUGUUAAAAUGCAGUUCAAAUUAAAUUCUUCUCACAUUUUGGUUCUCUCAAUUACCCAAAGUGAACUCUCGGACUCUCGGUCAGUGUUUCGCAUUGCGGCGAAGAAGCGAGUGAUCUGCUGGGCUGUGUGCAACUUUCCGGGGCAGGAUGACGUGACGGCAAGCUACCAUCCCCAGAGACUAUCACAUUACGCAAACAGUGCUUCAGCAUUCUGUGGCUCAAUGCAACUCUGAAGGUGUUGCCAUGCAGGACGUGGCCAGGGUAGUGUUGCAAGCCUUCUCAAGUAAAGUGGUUUUAUCCAGUUCCAUGACUGUCGUCAAGAGACACUUAGAGUAGGGCGAGUUGAUCCUUGUUAGGGAAAGACUUUGAACUUACCAUCAAUCUGUGUGCGCACGUAUUUCCAAGAGAAAGAAGCCGAGGAUGAAAGGGGAACAAAAACAUCCUGUGAAAUUACUUAACUUCAAGAAUUGAUAAGAAUAAGAAUUAAAGAUUUCCAAGAGAAAGAAGCCGAGGAUGAAAGGGGAACAAAAACAUCCUGUGAAAUUACUUAACUUCAAGAAUUGAUAAGAAUAAGAAUUAAAGAUCCGCUGCGUGCCGUCAGGGUCCAGCGUCACUGAUACCUUCUUCAGGGUCUUGUUGCCGCAGUGGGGACAGAAGAUCUGAGGAAAUAAUAAAUAUAAAGAAACCGCCAA